UUCCUGGAGUCUCAGUUGGUAAAGAAUCUGCCUGCAAUGCAGGAGACCCAGGUUUGAUCCCUGGAUUGGGAA
rfam:Ovis aries breed Texel chromosome 5, whole genome shotgun sequence.